GUCCUCUAAUACAGCACUAUUAAAGGCCCAGUGCACCACUUUUGUGGAAAAAAAUAUUUUAUAACAUUUUUCUAUUCCGAUUUUUCAGGGGGUGGUGCAACAACCUCAGCACCCCUACUUCCCGCAGCCAUGAUCAUACGCACUUAAAUAGGACAUGGAGGACACUUUUCCGUGGCUCAUUUUCAUGUCAGCCAGAUCUCCAUCCAGGACAUCCUGAGGCCCUCCUCAGACCUUCCCUGUUGUUUCCGCCCACCACUGGGUGAAGUGGGUCCAUAGCAGGUGGGAUGCUGGGAGGGAGCUGAAAAGAGACUUCCUGAUUAAGAACGAGGGGCACAAACAUGGACAGAUGUUUUCCAAACCCUAUCUGGCCCAAACCUUCCAGCUACCAUCAACCCCUCCCAUCUACCAUUCAGAACAGAGGCGUGAUGAGUCUGGAGGAUCUGUGACCAUGACAACGAGGAGUUCAAACAAAUCCACACGGACUACAAGCAACAUGGUGUAUCCGGAGGCAGAGUAUGUGAGUGGAGUGGAGCAAGAAGUGGAGUGGAGCAAGAAGUGGAGCUGGAGCGGAGCAGGGACUGGAGCUGGAGCGGAGCAGGGAGUGGAGCUGGAGCGGAGCAGGGACUGGAGCUGGAGCGGAGCAGGGAGUGGAGCUGGAGCGGAGCAGGGACUGGAGCUGGAGCGGAGCAGGGACUGGAGCUGGAGCGGAGCGAGGAGUGGA
rnacentral:lncRNA from 1 species